rnacentral:rRNA from 1 species
CAGUAGCCACGGUAAUACGGAGGGUGCAAGCGUUAAUCGGAAUUACUGGGCGUAAAGCGCACGCAGGCGGUCUGUCAAGUCAGAUGUGAAAUCCCCGGGCUUAACCUGGGAACUGCAUUUGAAACUGGCAGGCUAGAGUCUUGUAGAGGGGGGUAGAAUUCCAGGUGUAGCGGUGAAAUGCGUAGAGAUCUGGAGGAAUACCGGUGGCGAAGGCGGCCCCCUGGACAAAGACUGACGCUCAGGUGCGAAAGCGUGGGGAGCAAACAGGAUUAGAGACCCCAGUAGUCCCUGUCUCUUAUAC